GUCGAAGUAGAGAUGAACAGAUGAAGAUACAGCCCGUAAAAAUACUUAUUCUUGGUGAGUGCCAUGUAGCGACGGAUCAAACGGACACUCAUGUCAAGCUUGAUGAGGACACAGUCAAAGCUUUAAAAGACCUUGUGAUUAAGUCUUCAGUGUCUGAAUGGCAAGAAGAAGA